UCAUUGCUGGUUCAAUGGUAGAAUUCUCAUCUUCCAUGUGGGAGACCUGGAUUUGAUUCCCAGCCAAUGCA
rnacentral:tRNA from 1 species